UGGGGAAUAUUGCACAAUGGACGGAAGUCUGAUGCAGCAACGCCGCGUGGAGGAUGACACAUUUCGGUGCGUAAACUCCUUUUAUAUGAGAAGAUAAUGACGGUAUUAUAUGAAUAAGCACCGGCUAACUCCGUGCCAGCAGCCGCGGUAAUACGGGGGGUGCAAGCGUUACUCGGAAUCACUGGGCGUAAAGAGCAUGUAGGCGGAUUGAUAAGUUUGAAGUGAAAUCCUAUAGCUUAACUAUAGAACUGCUUUGAAAACUGUUAAUCUAGAAUGUGGGAGAGGUAGAUGGAAUUUCUGGUGUAGGGGUAAAAUCCGUAGAUAUCAGAAGGAAUACCGAUUGCGAAGGCGAUCUACUGGAACACUAUUGACGCUGAGAUGCGAAAGCGUGGGGAGCAAACAGGAUUAGAUACCCUGGUAGUCCACGCCCUAAACGAUGUACACUAGUUGUUGUGAGGCUAGACCUUGCAGUAAUGCAGUUAACACAUUAAGUGUACCGCCUGGGGAGUACGGUCGCAAGAUU
rnacentral:rRNA from 1 species